AGGACUAACGCUGGCGGCGUGCCUAACACAUGCAAGUCGAACGGGGGUAGCAAUACCCCAGUGGCAGACGGGUGAGUAACACGUGGUCAACCUACCUCUGUGUGGGGGAUAACUAGCCGAAAGGUUAGCUAAUACCGCAUACGAUCGUUUUGAGGCAUCUCGAGACGAUGAAAGGAGCAAUCCGCACGGAGAGGGGACUGCGUCCCAUUAGUUAGUUGGUGGGGUAACGGCCUACCAAGACUCCGAUGGGUAGCUGGCUUGAGAGUGCGACCAGCCACACUGGAACUGAGACACGGUCCAGACUCCUACGGGAGGCAGCAGUGAGGAAUUUUCGGCAAUGGGGGCAACCCUGACCGAGCAACGCCGCGUGCAGGACGACGGCCUUCGGGUUGUAAACUGCUUUUCUCUGGGACGAGCAAGGACGGUACCAGAGGAAGAAGCCCCGGCUAACUACGUGCCAGCAGCCGC
rnacentral:rRNA from 1 species